rnacentral:rRNA from 1 species
AGUGAACGCUGGCGGUAGGCCUAACACAUGCAAGUCGAACGGCAGCACAGUAAGAGCUUGCUCUUACGGGUGGCGAGUGGCGGACGGGUGAGGAAUACAUCGGAAUCUACUUUUUCGUGGGGGAUAACGUAGGGAAACUUACGCUAAUACCGCAUACGACCUACGGGUGAAAGCAGGGGAUCUUCGGACCUUGCGCGAUUGAAUGAGCCGGUGUCGGGUUAGCUAGUUGGGGGGCUAAAUGCCCACCAAGUCGACGAUCCGUAGCUGGUCUGAGAGGAUGAUCACCCACACUGGAACUGGGACACGGUCCAGACUCCUACGGGAGGCAGCAGUGGGGAAUAUUGGACAAUGGGCGCAAGCCUGAUCCAGCCAUACCGAGUGUGUGAAGAAGGCCUUCGGGUUGUAAAGCCCUUUUGUUGGGAAAGAAAAGCAGCAGGUUAAUACCCCGCUGUUCUGACGGUACCCAAAGAAUAAGCACCGGCUAACUUCGUG